rnacentral:misc_RNA from 1 species
GCCUUGGUAUCAAACUCACCAGACAUCGUCAGCAGUGUCUUUGGAAUGACCUCAUGCUGCAGCAAUGCGCCAAGUUUCCCAUAGUUGUUGACCUUUGCUUUUGCCACUGUCAGGUGAUCAAUAACAUAUAACCCUCCAACUGUGAAAGUGUUCUCAUUUGUUGAAAACCUUCUAAAAAUCUCUCCCACAGCAGCACUUUUCUUUGCCUGAUCCAGAUGAUGUACAUAUGAUGCUUUAAUACUGUCUCCCUUGUCACCCAAAAUU